rnacentral:rRNA from 1 species
UUCCUACGGGGGGCAGCAGUGGGGAAUAUUGCACAAUGGGGGGAACCCUGAUGCAGCGACGCCGCGUGAAGGAAGAAGUACCUCGGUAUGUAAACUUCUAUCAGCAGGGAAGAAAGAGGACGGUACCUGACUAAGAAGCCCCGGCUAACUACGUGCCAGCAGCCGCGGUAAUACGUAGGGGGCAAGCGUUAUCCGGAUUUACUGGGUGUAAAGGGAGCGUAGACGGCGAUGCAAGUCUGAAGUGAAAGGCGGGGGCCCAACCCCUGGACUGCUUUGGAAACUGUAUGGCUGGAGUGCAGGAGAGG